rnacentral:lncRNA from 1 species
GCUAUUGCUUUCACUCCUCAUUGGUCUCUCUGCCUACUCCUCUCCUCUUUCAUCUAAUUCACAGCCGCAACUAAGCCCUCAGGUGUCCUUUUCCCUCCCUCCGGUGCAUCCCUGCUAAUCUCAAUUAUUCUCUUAUAAAGAGUAAAUUUUUGGUCCAGCCUCCAUCGAUCUUUAGUUUGUUUUAACAAAUGACCAUGUAUGUAACAAGCAUUUAAGAAUGUCAAUCUGAGAUCUAAUCUUAGUUUUCAUUGUUUUCCAAUUUAAGACUUUUUUUUUUUAGAUUAAACUUGCUUUUCCAUUGAUCUCAAAAAAGAUGUACAAUAUUACUAUCCAGCAACAUUUGGACUAGCUACUGAUCUAUACUCAAUGCUAACAGUGUAACUAUAC